UACGUAGGGCGCAAGCGUUGUCCGGAAUUAUUGGGCGUAAAGAGCUCGUAGGCGGUCUGUCGCGUCUGCUGUGAAAAUCCGGGGCUCAACCCCGGACUUGCAGUGGGUACGGGCAGACUAGAGUGUGGUAGGGGAGACUGGAAUUCCUGGUGUAGCGGUGAAAUGCGCAGAUAUCAGGAGGAACACCGGUGGCGAAGGCAGGUCUCUGGGCCGAUACUGACGCUGAGGAGCGAAAGCGUGGGGAGCGAACAGG
rnacentral:rRNA from 1 species